rnacentral:rRNA from 1 species
UACAGAGGGGGCAAGCGUUAUUCGGAAUUAUUGGGCGUAAAGGGCGCGUAGGCGGUCGUGACAAGUCACUUGUGAAAUCUCCGGGCUUAACUCGGAACGGUCAAGUGAUACUGUCGGACUAGAGUACAGAAGGGACAACUGGAAUUCUCGGUGUAGCGGUGAAAUGCGUAGAUAUCGAGAGGAACACCUGCGGCGAAGGCGGGUCUCUGGGCCGAUACUGACGCUGAGGAGCGAAAGCGUGGGGAGCGAACAGG